CACGGAAUUAGCCGGUCCUUUUUCUGAAGGUACAUACAAUAGAGGACACGUCCUCUUUUUAUUCCCAACUAAAAGCAGUUUACAACCCAGAGGGCCGUCAUCCUGCACGCUACUUGGCUGGUUCAGACUUUCGUCCAUUGACCAAUAUUCCUCACUGCUGCCUCCCGUAGGAGUCUGGACCGUGUCUCAGUUCCAGUGUGGGGGACCUUCCUCUCAGAACCCCUACCGAUCGAAGGCUAGGUGGGCCGUUACCCCGCCUACUACCUAAUCGGACGCAUCACCAUCUCAUACCGAUAAAUCUUUGGUUAUAUCACCAUGCGGUAACAUAACAACAUCGGGUAUUAAUCUUACUUUCGCAAGGCUAUCCCCGAGUAUGAGGCAGGUUUGAUACGCGUUACGCACCCGUGCGCCGGUCGCCAUCAGAAGAAGCAAGCUUCUUCCAUGCUGCCCCUCGACUUGCAUGUGUUAAGCCUGUAGCUAGCGUUCAUCCUGAGCCAGGAUCAAACUCU
rnacentral:rRNA from 1 species